rnacentral:lncRNA from 1 species
CUAAAUAAAUUCAUACAUACUGUAAUACAGAUAACCAAAGUACAAAAUUUAAUUUACAGUGACACGUGGGCCCACGAACGACCAAAAGUAUCAAAAGCGGUAAACCUACAGUUUUUGAGGAUGCAAGUCCAACUGUAGCCCUCAACAAAGUGAGUUAUCUACCGACUAUCCUGAGCCUGAAAUGGGUGAAAAGAAGGGUGGUGAGAUUAUAUAAUCCCAGUGAGUAAACAAAUACCAUCUAAAAUAUCUAAAACUGAGUAAAUGGAGACAGAUAAAAUAGUUUAACAUAUUGUAAUUCAUCACCUUUCAACUCAUUUCAACCAAAUAAAAUCAAUUCAUAUAAAUUGAGUAAUCAACAUGGCUUAUGAAUUUCUUAAAACUUUGACUCGUGCCAAAUUCAUUUUCAUACUCAGUUAUCGGGGAUACCAUGGUCAAGGGCUAUCCCAAUCGAGUCUGCCAAGGUUGUUAAAAAGUUAUGUACGCAUAAAUCAUGUUUUUAUUUUGAAAACAUAGUCGUUCCUUGGCGUUAGCUGAGUUCACCCUUACGUGGUGGUUUGGUGUGAAGUGAACUCUAUAGUUUUAACCUUAGGAGUUAUCCAACCACGCCUCUCAUACUGAGGUAUGAACAUAAUAGGGUUACCGUGCCCCUCUAAUAGGCUGGUCCAUGGAACCUGUCCACUGCAGCGACCAAUAUAUAACCCACCAAUUCAAUAAAAUUCAAUAGCAUGACAUGGUAAUUAUUUUAUUUUACAGCCUCUCAAGGCAAAUUAACAGUUCAUUCAUUUUCAACACAAAUACCAAUUCAUCCAUUCAUGAAAUUAUUAUCAUAAGCUAUUCAAUUCAAACCAUGAUUUAUAACACAGCAAUUAGUCUCUAAUUACUCGAUUUUCAAAAUCAUCUUUUAAUUUCAAGACAAUUUUAUAAAAUCAUUUUUAUUUAAUCACAUUUUGCUUAUAAAACAUAAAGAUUUACCAUUUAAACUCAUUUUCCAUAAAAUCACAAAAUCAGAUAAAAACCACUUUAGAUAAUUAAGACGAUAGUAAGGUUACUCACUAUUUUAGGAGUCAAAUUUUGAGUACUCCGAUUCUUGAUCCUCGGGUACUAUUUCUUUACUUUUGCUAGAAAGCUCACCACCUAGACAUAAUGCACAAUAAGCCAUUUACUAUAUUUGUGCUAAACCAUUGUCAAACCAAUUCAGGCUUUAUACUAAUGCAUGAAAUGGGAUGUGAAAUACUCGGCUAACUAUCUAAAUACGGUGUUCAAUAUAAAUUCAAUUAUGUACCUAAAUAAAAUGGUAUUGGCCUAAUUCGAUCUAUCACCCGAUUAAUUGGCCAAUACAUCCAAUUUAACUCCAAUUAACUCCAUUUUUUCUUCCAAUCCUCCAAACCAUCAAACACAAGUCAAAUAGCAUAAAAUUUAGCAAAAUCAUCCUCACAUUUCUUCUUGAGAAUUUCGGCCAUGGUGAGUGCAUCAACACUAUGAUUUUUCCUACUUGAUUUUCUCACCAUAAUUCAUCAUUUCCUAACCAAUUCACUUGAAAUAAAAUCAAAUCCACCAUCAACACUCUACAAGGAAGAUUCGGCCAAUGAUGAACUCAUGAGGAAUAUGUGAAUUUCAAGCUUAAUUCUUACACUUAACACCAUAAACAACUAAAAACAUCCAUAUAUCUUAAAAAUCUAUCUAAAUCAUCAUCAAAUUCUCUCUUCUAGGGUUUGAUCAGUACACUAUCCUUCAUGAUAUCUUGUGAUUCAACCAUGGAAAAUGAAAUAUAAUGCAUAGGAAAGAUAGAUCACAAGCUAGAGUUAAGAAAUUUCACCUUUAAUGGCUUGAUUACUUGAAAUCCACCAAUUUUCUCUUGAAUUUUCACUCUAGGGUUUUUGUUCUUCUUUUCUUCUUUUGUUCUUGCUAUGGC